rnacentral:rRNA from 1 species
CCUACGGGAGGCAGCAGUGGGGAAUUUUGGACAAUGGGCGCAAGCCUGAUCCAGCAAUGCCGCGUGAGUGAAGAAGGCCUUCGGGUUGUAAAGCUCUUUUGUCAGGGAAGAAACGGUGAAGGCUAAUAUCCUUUGCUAAUGACGGUACCUGAAGAAUAAGCACCGGCUAACUACGUGCCAGCAGCCGCGGUAAUACGUAGGGUGCAAGCGUUAAUCGGAAUUACUGGGCGUAAAGCGUGCGCAGGCGGUUUUGUAAGUUUGUCGUGAAAUCCCCGGGCUCAACCUGGGAAUGGCGAUGAAGACUGCAAGGCUAGAAUCUGGCAGAGGGGGGUUAGAAUUCCACGUGUAGCAGUGAAAUGCGUAGAGAUGUGGAGGAACACCGAUGGCGAAGGCAGCCCCCUGGGUCAAGAUUGACGCUCAUGCACGAAAGCGUGGGGAGCAAACAGGAUUAGAUACCCUGGUAGUCCACGCCCUAAACGAUGUCUACUAGUUGUCGGUUUUAAAUUAACGUUGGUAACGCAGCUAACGCGUGAAGUAGACCGCGUGGGGAGUACGGUCGCAAGAUUAAAACCGUCAAAGUGAAGUAGUACGGCGUGAGACGUAGCCGACGGACGACGACGAGGGAGGUUAGG